ensembl:lncRNA
GAAGAGGUUGUAUGGAGGACUUGCAUGCUCUGCUAAGCAGCCUGGUCUUGCUUUCCCAGGCUAGAGUGGUGAGUCUUGAUCCUUGGAGCCUGAUUAGGUACCCUGAUGCUGUGCACUUCUGAGCAUCCUUCUGCUCUAGCUCAGCAGACUAGACCUGGAUGUUUCUGCAAAGCAGCUACCUGCAGCAGUUCUUGGAAGAGCCUUUCUUGGCUGAGCCUUCUCUCCAGCCCAAAGAGUGACGUGGAAACGAAGGGGGAAAAUUCCACAAAAAUGUGCAGAGCAUAGGAAAUAUGCUGGGAACUGUUAAGGGCUUGGCCAGGGCCUCUUGCCAGACAAGCAGGCAUGAGGCUCAAGCCAGAGACAAGAGGAGCUGACUGCUGGACUUGGGACCAGAAACUGAAAUCUCAGAAAUCCACUCUGCCCCCACCAGUGGACCCUAACACACCUAGCUGUGUACACAGAACCAGAUGUAGAACUCUCAGCUACCUCGCCAGCAUCAUGUCUGCCUGUGUGCCACCAUGUUUCCUGCCAUGAUGAUUACGGACUAAACCUCUGGACGGUAAGGAAGCCACCUUAAUUAAAUGUUUUCCUUUAUAAGAGUUGCUGUGCUCAGUCCAGUGGUGGUGGUGCAUGGCUUUAAUCCCAGCACUUGGGAGGCAGAGGCAGGCGGAUCUCUGUGAGUUCGAGACCAUCCUAGUCUACAAAAGCGAGUUAAGGAGAGGCUCCAAAGCUACACAGGGAAACUCUGUCUCGAAAAACAAAAACAAAAAACAACAAUAACAAAAAGUUGCUGUGCUCAUGGUGUCCCUUCACAACAUUGAAACUCUAAGGCAGAUAGCUUUUGUUAUGCCUUUAACCUAAAGCCAUAGCCUUUUACUAUAACAUCAAGAUGUAAAUCUGUUCCAGCUGUCUUACAGAUACCUGCAAUUUCCUGGGAGAAGUGUUUCUAUAUCAAGAUAUCUGGGUUUGAUAAAAACAGUCUCCAGAACCCAUUUUUACCCCAUCUAUUUUUGAGCAUGUCUUGCAGGUUCACUCCUUCUGCCUGGGCCAAGGCCAACCCACAGAGUGUCCUCCAGAUUAUGCCAGCACCUGCACUAGGGACUUCACUGUUGGUACCACCUCUCCAGGUUCACAUGGGCACCUCUUCAGGAUACUUGGUCUGUCCAACAGCUGGGACCUUGUGGUUUUCCAAGAUGCCACAAUAAAGGGUCUAUUUGCUCUUUUUCCUGACACAUCAGUACAAUUAGGGCCAAUGAUGAUAAUCUAUUUUUUCUCCUAGCAACCUGUCUUGUCCACUUCAAGGAACAGUUGCCCUCUGAGGUUUCCAGGAUGGCAGCUAACCAGAUGCUUCUCCACCCACACCUUCUGCUGAGCAUGAAUGAACCCACCAACUCCUGACUCUCCUUUCCCCUACAUUGUCCCUUGUCAGCAGGAAGGAGCCAGACAUGAACCAGCAUCCAUAGACCCAAAGAGUCUGGGAUGUUAUGGUGGAAGCUUCACCCAAGCCUCCCUCCCCUAUCUCCCUCCAAACCCUGCUGCAUCUCAGAAAGCCCACCAAAUGAUGACCCCUUCCCCAGAGAUGCUCAAGACCACUCCCACAGGGUAUUUAAACUGCUCCCAGAGAACAGACUCUUGAUUUUUCAGGUCUCCCUUUCUUGUCUCCUCUCUGGGGGGUCGGAAGACCAUCUGGGAGCAAUGUAUCUAUUAAAUGUCGGCUUUUUCUAAUUCGGUUUGAUUUGGUCUGAUUUGGACUGUUACAUUGUUGGAGAGGCUUAUCAGGGUGUAGAAACUUUUUAG